UGAAGACUGGCCGAGCCAGUCGGGGAUAAACAGUGGGGAGUUUCCUUCGUAUUCUACGAUCUGCUCUUCUCGUUUGUCUCUGUUAGGCAGCCCGUUCGCCUUUGAUCGCGGAGAAGCUAAAAGGGGCGAUAAAAAGCCUAAUAACGUGACUGGAAGAGCGGGGAAUGUGAAGACGGGAGACGUCUGGACUCCACAUCGCUCCAGACCACACUUUAUUCUUUCUUCAGAAUUCGAUGCAGUCUGCAAUCCUACAACCCUACGCCCUUCCUCCCUCACGCAGUGUAAAGCGAACGACUUAAUUCGGCGAUAGAUAGAGAGAAAAGCCAAACGGAGGACGUCACAGGAAAUGGGCUUUCAUAAAACGAUUGCACAUGACUUAUGAUUUCUUAAAGCGACUUCAUCAAGUUCACUCUACUUGGGUGGCGCUUAUUACAAAAUAGCUGUGUUUUUCCUGACGUGGUGAUUCUUUAGCACUGGAACAUCACUAUACGACUUCUAAUAGAAGAUGUUUUCCUCUCCUCUUCUUCACAGGUUAAUCUUACUGGACGCAGUAAGUGACGUUAGCUGUUCGUUUUUCAAAAGCCUUAUCUUCCUUGCCUUUUUAUAGAGUAAAUUGCAUCAGGUUUCUUAUCUGGGUGUAGUGGAUAAUUAGGGAAAUACCUAGAGUUAAGCCGAGCGUGGGAGAAGCCGGAGCUGGGGCUUGUUGUGGCUGUGUGGGUUCCUGGCAUGUUGAUUUGUGACUGUAGUGAAAAAUCACAUUGCCAGGGAUUACCACACUGCCAUGGCCUUCCUCGCGGUCCGUGAGGAAAAGCAUUUGUGGUGUGGUUCUGAGCGGGUGCAGAGCUUAGCUGAUUGGUGAACGUGCACAGUCCGCUUUUUUUGUUCACAGUGGCUAAGUUCUUCACCUGAAAAGAAGCUGCGGCUGGCUUUUCUUUCUCUCCGUCGGAAAGCCUGUGUCCUGCAUGCGUGCCAUACUGACUUAUUUAUCUUUUUUUUUACAUUUUCAAACGUUAUUAUGUUUUUACAACAACUUCAGUCUAAUUGAGAUUAAUAGGGAUGCAAUGAAAAACAUGAUUUGUGAGAAUUCACAGUUAUUUAUUUUUCCAAAUGAACUCUUCAUACGUUUAUACCCUUGUGAAAAAUAAGUACACUUCAGCAUACUUCAAAAA